rnacentral:misc_RNA from 1 species
GAUGAAAGAACGUAGUGAAAUGCGAUAAGUAAUGUGAAUUGCAGAAUUCAGUGAAUCAUCGAAUCUUUGAACGCAUCUUGCGCUCCUUGGUAUUCUGAGGAGCAUGCCUGUUUGAGUGUCAUUAAAUUCUCAACUACACUGACUUUGAAUUGGUGUGGCUUGGAUUUGGGGGGAAAAUUGUUGUGGGCUUUUUGUAUAGUCUGCUCCCCUGAAAUUGAUUAGCGGUACCUUUGUGGAACUGUCUACAGGUGUGAUAAUUAUCUACAUCUUAGACAUCUGCUGGAAUGCUGCUUUCUAAACCUUACUUGUAUUGACAAUCUUGACCUCAAAUCAGGUAGGACUACCCGCUGAACUUAAGCAUAUCAAUAAGCGGAGGA